UACAGAGGGUGCAAGCGUUAAUCGGAAUCACUGGGCGUAAAGGGUGCGUAGGCGGGUCUUUAAGUCAGCGGUGAAAUCUCCGGGCUCAACCCGGAAACUGCCAUUGAUACUAUUUGUCUUGAAUGUUGUUGAGGUGGGCGGAACGGGUCAUGUAGCGGUGAAAUGCAUAGAUAUGACCCGGAACACCGAUUGCGAAGGCAGCCCACUAAGCAACGAUUGACGCUGAGGCACGAAAGCGUGGGGAUCAAACAGG
rnacentral:rRNA from 1 species